AGCGGCGAACGGGUGAGUAACACGUGAGCAACCUGCCCCUGACUCUGGGAUAAGCGGUGGAAACGCCGUCUAAUACCGGAUACGACCCGCCACCUCAUGGUGGAGGGUGGAAAGUUUUUCGGUCAGGGAUGGGCUCGCGGCCUAUCAGCUUGUUGGUGGGGUAACGGCCUACCAAGGCGAUUACGGGUAGCCGGCCUGAGAGGGCGACCGGCCACACUGGGACUGAGACACGGCCCAGACUCCUGCGGGAGGCAGCAGUGGGGAAUAUUGCGCAAUGGGCGAAAGCCUGACGCAGCGACGCCGCGUGGGGGAUGACGGCCUUCGGGUUGUAAACCUCUUUUACCACCAACGCAGGCUCGAAGUUCUCUUCGGGUUGACGGUAGGUGGGGAAUAAGGACCGGCUAACUACGUGCCAGCAGCCGCGGUAAUACGUAGGGUCCGAGCGUUGUCCGGAAUUAUUGGGCGUAAAGAGCUCGUAGGCGGCGUGUCGCGUCUGCUGUGAAAGACCGGGGCUUAACUCCGGUUCUGCAGU
rnacentral:rRNA from 1 species